rnacentral:rRNA from 1 species
UACGUAGGGUGCGAGCGUUGUCCGGAUUUAUUGGGCGUAAAGAGCUCGUAGGCGGCCUGUUGCGUCCGCUGUGAAAGCCCGGGGCUUAACCCCGGGUCUGCAGUGGAUACGGGCAGGCUAGAGGUAGGUAGGGGAGAAUGGAAUUCCCGGUGUAGCGGUGAAAUGCGCAGAUAUCGGGAGGAACACCGGUGGCGAAGGCGGUUCUCUGGGCCUUACCUGACGCUGAGGAGCGAAAGCGUGGGGAGCGAACAGG